GCAAGUCGAGGGGUAACAUUGUAGCUUGCUACAGAUGACGACCGGCGAACGGGUGCGUAACGCGUAUAGAAUCUGCCUUGUACAGGAGGAUAGCCUUUAGAAAUGAAGAUUAACACUCCAUAAUGUAGGGUUUCGGCAUCGAAACCUUAUUAAACAUUUAUGGGUACAAGAUGACUAUGCGUCCUAUUAGCUAGAUGGUAAGGUAACGGCUUACCAUGGCGACGAUAGGUAGGGGGUCUGAGAGGGUGACC
rnacentral:rRNA from 1 species